rnacentral:tRNA from 1 species
AUUUAGAAAGAAAGAAAUUUAAUAUAUAUAUAUAUAUUAAAUAAAUAUCUAAAUUUAAGUAUAUCAUUUACAAUGAUAAGAUGUUUUUUAACUUUAUUUAAA